rnacentral:tRNA from 1 species
GGGAAUGUGGAGUAGUGGUUUGGGUGUUGCACUACAACUCUGGAGACCAGGGUUUAAUUCCCUGCUUGGCCA